rnacentral:rRNA from 1 species
UUUUCUCAAUGGGGGAAACCCUGAAGGAGCGACGCCGCGUGGAGGAUGAAGGUCUUCGGAUUGUAAACUCCUGUCAUUAGGGAACAAUUGUCGCCGAGUAACUACCGGUGGCUUGAUAGUACCUGAAGAGGAAGAGACGGCUAACUCUGUG